CUCUGUCACUCCCUCUUUUCUCUUUCCGCCGCCACCUCGUCCCUCUCUCUCAAUAAAACCUCUUCCACGUGGAACUGUUUUGGCCUAGUAUGCUGUUAAGACGCGACCUGACAUUCUAACACAUCAGAUAUCUAUCCCAGUGGCAGUGGUUGCAAAAACGUACAACAGGCGCUGUAGUGUCAGAACCCAGCUUUCUCAUUCUGUCCCUUUCUCCCUUCCACAUCCUUAGCUACAAAAACUCCAGCUUAAAGCAUGAAAUGUGCCUUUUCCUGACCUCUGGUCUUUAUGUGACAAAGUCCCGUGCUUGGAUCGCGACAUGCAGAGCUAGAACUAGAAAACCCACUUCUUUGAGUAAAGCUUGCUCCUCGCUGUUUGAGGACGUCUAAAUUCUCUCUCUCUCUCUCUUUUUAUUUCUUCCCAUAAUCCUAAUUCGUACUUUUACUCUGACCCUAACAGUUCCAGUAACAGUCUUGGGACAAGACAGAAAUGCCUUCAUAGUGGAUAAGAGGAAAGGCGGGGGACAGGCUGUCUGGGAGAAUGGACCGCCUGGGUCCUGGCAGCUGGAGGGCAGGGCAAGGUGGGGAUCAGGUAAGCCAGUCUGGUGGAGGGGGCAGGAAGUCGGAGGAAGAAAGGACACGGUGAGGAAAGACUUCCCGUUGGCUAUUUGGAGCAUGGGUCAGCAGCUAUGCUCAUCGCGUUAUGGCGUAGCUGUGGAGGCCUGGGAGUUGCGCAUGCGCGUGCCAGAGGCGUAGGCUCGCCGCACCGCAGCCGCUUUCUCCGUAGCUGGUGGAGCGGUCUGCGUCCGUACCCCGGCUUCGCCGCGGUUUCUAAGGUAAGCAGGAGCACUUCCGGUGGGCCUGGCGUUGCCUGGGCAACGGGAGCGGGGUUCCGUUGGCUUUUUUGAGUUCUGUGUAGCUCCAGACCCCAAUUUCCUCUGCGCGUGUGGAACCUCUCCCGGAACGGAAGUCAGGACCAGAGCGACUACUGCGCAGGCGUGGUGUGCGGCCAGCGGGCCUGGGUUGGUUCGCUGGUGCGGGUGGCAUGGAUUGAUUGAUGUCCGGUCCGUCCAGGACUGCGAGCCAGGACGGCGCUGUGGCGUGUGGCCAUCACUGAGGCCCCGGUGGCAAGCAGGGGGCAGGGCUGCGGUGGAACUGCGCGUCCUUGUGCACCACACGUGGGCUCCAGGACGGACCUGGUGCCUGGCUCCAGACUGACUCGUAAAGCAAGUCUUGCUGCCGAGGUGCCCAGGCCCGUGGUUCUCGUCCAGCUGGAAGGGAGGGCUGAGCUGCGAGUUGUUCUCAGCUAAACACAGCACAGGCUCCAGGGAUAGCAUGCAGAGACGAAGAGGAAGAACAGAGAGGGCCAGGAAGAGACGGCGGCGAAGCUCUGGUUCAAGAGCAGUAAAUGAGAGCUACAGAUCAGAAUUUAUAGAGCUAAGAAAAUGGCUGAAAGAAAGGAAGUUUGAAGACACAGACUUAGUACCCGCCAGCUUUCCAGGAACAGGAAGAGGGCUGAUGAGCAAAGCGUCGUUGCAGGAGGGCCAGGUGAUGAUCUCACUGCCUGAGAGCUGUCUGCUCACCACGGACACUGUGAUUCGAAGCUCCCUAGGGCCCUACAUUAAGAAGUGGAAGCCUCCUGUGUCUCCUCUGCUGGCCUUGUGUACUUUCUUAGUCUCAGAAAAGCAUGCCGGCUGUCGGUCCCUCUGGAAGUCUUACCUGGACAUCUUACCCAAGUCAUACACCUGCCCGGUGUGUUUGGAGCCGGAAGUGGUAGAUCUUCUUCCCAGCCCUUUAAAGGCGAAGGCGGAAGAGCAGAGAGCCCGAGUGCAGGACCUGUUUACCUCCGCUAGAGGCUUCUUCUCUACCCUGCAGCCUCUGUUUGCAGAGCCUGUGGACAGCGUUUUCAGCUACCGAGCCUUCCUGUGGGCCUGGUGCACGGUGAACACCAGGGCUGUGUACCUGAGGUCCAGGAGGCAGGAGUGCCUUUCCGCAGAGCCGGACACGUGUGCGCUUGCUCCGUUCCUGGACCUGCUGAAUCACAGCCCACAUGUGCAGGUAAAAGCGGCGUUUAACGAGAAAACCAGGUGCUAUGAGAUUAGAACAGCCUCGCGCUGUAGGAAGCACCAGGAGGUGUUCAUCUGCUACGGCCCCCAUGAUAACCAGAGGCUGCUCCUGGAGUAUGGCUUUGUCUCCGUCCGCAAUCCUCACGCCUGCGUUCCUGUCUCGGCAGACAUGCUGGUUAAGUUCCUCCCUGCAGCAGAUAAGCAGCUCCACAGGAAGAUAACCAUUUUGAAGGAUCAUGGCUUUACAGGAAAUCUGACGUUUGGAUGGGAUGGGCCGUCCUGGAGGCUACUCACGGCUCUCAAGUUGCUGUGUCUGGAAGCCGAGCGCUUGUGACCCCUGGUGACUGAGUAUUGUCAGCGCUGUCACUGUUCAGGGCACAUCUGCCAGUGGGUGGCUUUUCCUGUGGUAAGCAAGCUUCUAACCACAACCCUCUAACUGUCCUAACCAGCCCCGCUGAAGGCCUUUUUCGUGAAAGGAGCCGGGUAGAAGAACCCAGUGUAGACGUUCAUCUUGCUCAGGCUCCUCACCCUUUCUAAGGGGUUAGGGCUGCCAGUCACACCCCAGAGCCUUCACCUCUGCAAGCCAAGGCACCGUGAGUGACUGACUCACCUGGGUGUAGAGGAUGGCCUAGCUGCAGACUCCUUCCAUUUGGAGGGCGUGUGGCAGUGAGCUGUGUUUGUGGCUGUCACCUUUUAGGAAAAACUUUCCCUUAAAGGAGCACACAGUGCUACAGCUGCUGAGUCUUGUGGCCAUUUGCCAGAGCCUGGCCUUCCGGUUUUGUGUUUCUGCCCCUUGUGCCCCUGUAGCUGGUGGGUGUGACUUCAAUGACUUGUCCACCAGACCCAGGACUGCUGUGAAAAUAGAAUCCAGUCUCUGCUGGCCGGGAGCCGACUGACUAGCUGGCCCUUGAUUUACUCUGCUCCUCUUUCUUCCUCCGUGCUGGUGGCUCCCACUCAGGAGCUGAAUGAUGUCACGGCUUAGGAGCCGAGCUUCACUGUGCUCCGGAAGAAUGGGCGUGCUGUGUGUCAUCUUGCAGAGUGAGUGCCAUCUCCGGUAACGGGGACCUGCUGAAAUGACUUUAUUGAAUAUUUCUGCUCUAGCACAUCCUGGAAAAAGGUGCUCCUUGGCGAAGUCAUCUCCGAUACAAACGAGAAGACAAGCUUGGGCGUGGCCCAGAAAAUAUGCUCUGACGUCAUCGAGGAGACGCACGCUGUGCUGCGCAAGGUUUCUGACAUGAAGGAAGGGACAGUGUCACUGAGAAGCCAGCUCUCCUUGGUGGAAGCCUUGAGGAUGGAAGAGCUUAGGAUUCUCCAGGCUUCUGCUGAGAUCCUGAGUGGCUUGCUAGCCCCCUUUUCCUGACCUCCCGGGGUCACGUGGUUCCCUCCUAUGGAGGAUGUACCAGCGGCUGCGUCUUUACUGAGGUUGGAAUAAACAGACUUUUAUAUGAAAUCA